rnacentral:rRNA from 1 species
UGGGGAAUCUUAGACAAUGGGGGCAACCCUGAUCUAGCCAUGCCGCGUGAGUGAUGAAGGCCUUAGGGUUGUAAAGCUCUUUCAGCUGGGAAGAUAAUGACGGUACCAGCAGAAGAAGCCCCGGCUAACUCCGUGCCAGCAGCCGCGGUAAUACGGCGGGGGCUAGCGUUGUUCGGAAUUACUGGGCGUAAAGCGCACGUAGGCGGACUGGAAAGUUGGGGGUGAAAUCCCGGGGCUCAACCUCGGAACUGCCUUCAAAACUAUCAGUCUGGAGUUCGAGAGAGGUGAGUGGAAGUCCGAGUGUAGAGGUGAAAUUCGUAGAUAUUCGGAGGAACACCAGUGGCGAAGGCGGCUCACUGGCUCGAUACUGACGCUAAGGUGCGAAAGCGUGGGGAGCAAACA